CGAGUUGGCGCAACGGAAGAGGCGGCCGGCCGAGGGUGCGCCUCUGCUCCGGCUGAACUGCCGCGGAGGACAGGAGUUCAGCGCUGGGGGGUUGGCUAGGGCGGCAGCAGUGGCUGCUGUGCAUGGGAGCGGGCCGGCUCGGCGCGCCCAUGGAGCGCCACGGCAGAGCCGCCGCUACCUCAGCUCCGUUGGCCGGAGAGCAGGAGCCCGGAGGCGCCGAAGAAGGGCGGCGGCGGCGGGAGCCACUGCGGCGCCGGGCUAGCAGCGCCUCGGCGCCCCGGGUCCGGGCCGCGGCAGAGGGCGCGAGGCGGGACCGGCCCGGCUCCUACAGCGGUUCUGCCUCCGUGUCCCGCCAGCGCGUCGAAAGCCUCCGGAAAAAGCGGCCUCUUUUUCCAUGGUUUGGCUUGGAUAUUGGUGGUACCCUGGUCAAGCUGGUUUAUUUUGAACCCAAAGACAUCACUGCUGAAGAAGAAGAGGAAGAAGUAGAGAGUCUUAAAAGCAUUCGGAAGUACCUGACCUCCAAUGUGGCUUAUGGGUCUGCGGGCAUUCGGGAUGUGCACCUUGAGCUGAAGGACCUGACUCUGUGUGGACGCAAAGGCAAUCUGCACUUUAUACGCUUUCCCACUCAUGACAUGCCUGCUUUUAUUCAAAUGGGGAGAGAUAAAAACUUCUCGAGUCUCCACACAGUCUUUUGUGCCACUGGAGGUGGAGCAUACAAAUUUGAGCAGGAUUUUCUCACAAUAGGUGAUCUUCAGCUUUGCAAACUGGAUGAACUAGAUUGCUUAAUAAAAGGAAUUUUAUACAUUGACUCAGUGGGAUUCAAUGGACGGUCACAGUGCUACUACUUUGAAAACCCUGCUGAUUCUGAAAAAUGUCAGAAGUUGCCAUUUGAAUUGAAAAAUCCAUACCCCUUGCUUCUGGUGAACAUUGGCUCAGGGGUUAGCAUCUUAGCAGUAUAUUCCGAAGAUAAUUACAAGAGGGUUACAGGUACUAGUCUUGGAGGAGGAACUUUUUUUGGUCUCUGUUGUCUUCUAACUGGCUGUACUACUUUUGAAGAAGCUCUUGAAAUGGCAUCUCGUGGAGACAGUACCAAAGUGGAUAAACUAGUGCGAGACAUUUAUGGAGGAGAUUAUGAGAGGUUUGGAUUGCCAGGCUGGGCCGUGGCUUCGAGCUUUGGAAACAUGAUGAGCAAGGAGAAGCGAGAGGCUGUCAGUAAGGAGGACCUCGCCAGAGCGACUUUGAUCACUAUCACCAACAACAUUGGCUCCAUAGCAAGAAUGUGUGCUCUUAAUGAAAACAUUAACCAGGUGGUAUUUGUUGGAAAUUUCUUGAGAAUUAAUACCAUCGCCAUGCGGCUUUUGGCAUAUGCUUUGGAUUAUUGGUCCAAGGGGCAACUGAAAGCACUGUUUUCGGAACAUGAGGCUGCCACGCACAGGAAGAAGAGAUAAUGAGAAGAAAUACUCACAUCUCCAGCCGGUUCUCGCAGAAGGAACGCCUUCUUUGAAGCAGUCCACAGUGGAUAAAGUGAGCCUCAGAAAACAUACUGAGAUAACCAAAUUUUGGACAAGAAGAAUAAAGUCGGAGAAUGAUACUGUUUCAUUUUAAGAUUUACUGUAAGGCUACAGUACAGUAAGUCCCUGACUUAUGAAUGAGUUACAUUCCAGGACAAAGUAAGUUGGAUUUGUUCAUAAAUCUGACAAGGUGAGUCUUAUAUAUCUUUGACACAAAUAUACAAUGUAUAUUGCUUGCGCUUCCUAGCAGUCUUCUCCACAUCACCACUGCUUUUCCUCUUGCUUCCGGACAUUCAGGGCUCUGAUUGAGCACUAUACUACUGUGCACUACCGCACUGUACAGUAAACACACAGUAGCUCACCUGUGACAAUGUCUGGUAGACACGUGAGCUACUUCUGUGAUUUGUUUACAUCUAUGAAUGUUCGUAAUAUGAGGUCCAUGUAUAUCUGUGAAAGUUCACAACUCAGAUGUUUGUAAGUCAGGGACUUAACUGUAAUCAGACAGUGUGGUACUGAUGAAGGGAUAGGCACAUAAUUCAAAGGAACAGAAUAGAGAAUACAAAAAUAGAGCCACAAAAAUAUGGCCAUUUAACUUUGAUAAAGGUGCAAAAGAAAUUCAAUGGCAACAGCAACUACUCACCAUAGCCAGAGCUAGGGGUACUGUGGUAAACAAAUCAAAGACUAAAUAACUAAUGGCUAGAUUAUUCAGUGUGUUAAUAUAUAUUAGAAUUUAAUCUUUUCACUUAUGGUUAUCAAAAGGCCUCAAUUAGAAAAAUGAUCGCUUUCUAUAUCUUAAUGUUAAUUUUGGCCAUGUAUCAAAAUUAACUUGGAAAAAGUUAAAAGCCAAACAGUAAGUGAUGCUUGGUUUAAUAGAAGGUUAGGUCUAAAGUGCUAUUAAACAGAAAUAUCAAUUCUUUGAUGAUAUGCAGAAUGACCAAAGGAGAAGUAGAUGAUUUCGAAGUGUUUAAUCAUAAUGUAGAUAAUUAUUUUUAUUCAAAUAACUUCAAAAAUUAACUUUCUUUGAAGAGACUAACAAUGUAGCUUCAUUACCUUUAGACCAUGUUAGACAUAGAUUUUAUAAUGUACAACUUUCCAAGUCCAUUCUUUAAAUACCAAUUCAAAAAUUCAGAAAGGCGGGAAGAGAAAGGGUAAUAAAAAUUAAAAUUCUGAAUCUCUGUAGUCAUAGGCAACAAAAGGAGUAAAAAUAAAAGGAAUUCUUAUAGACAAUGUGGUCUUAAAAUACAGAAUAGGAUAUACACACUCAGGUUUGUCUUUAAGUCACCUAGGAACCAAAGCUGCAACCCAAGAGCUAGACAAGCCCAAGGGUGUUAUCUCUACAUUAUGUGUGUGUCCUUUUCCCCUACUCUAUCCCUCUCUUCUUCUCUUCCUCUAAUCCAUACUCCAUAAAAUAACAAUUGCCUUUUUUGUGCCAUUGAUAAGGGAUACUGAGAACAUUUUCAAGGGUGAAAUGAAUAAAAAUUCAUCUUGAAUACUAAUUUAUAUCUUUUCCCUUUUCAGACAACAUGGACAGCAAGAGGCAUCCCUGCUGCUAUAAAACCUUACCUUGGAACCCUCCCUAUUAGAAACAUGAGAUGUUACUCUUUUCAAACCCUCACAUAACUGAUUUUUAUGUGACUUCACCCUCAAAUAGUCUAUUAUCCUGAUGAAAAUAAACCUAUUUUUUCAACUUCUGAAGAUAAAGGUAUUAAAACACACCACAACAUAAUAUUUGGAUUAAGAAAUAGCUCAAGAAAAGAUUAAAAUACUGUACUUAUAAGCAACCUACCUCAUGUAAAUUCAGCUCUUUCACUUUCUCUUUUAAUAUAACCUAUAAAACAAAAAAAAAGUAUAUUCUUAUGCCCAUUUCAAUCUGCAACUUAGAACAUUUCCCCUACUCACCAAUAUUUUUCUUCUAUAUAUAUUUCUCUCAAGUUCAAUUUUGGGGAACAUCUCCUUUACAAUGAGGCAGAACAUUUUAACAACAUUCUUUUAACUUGAACAAAGAUGCACUCUCUGAAAAACACUUUAAACAUCUCUUUUGAGUAGAUUAAAACUUGAGAAAGAUAUUAACACAUGCUCAUCUGGACUGAGUGAUAAAUAUGAAGACUGGCUGUCUGAUUCAGUUAAACAGCACUGGCCAAUGGGACUGAUUAGUCAUUUAUAAAAUAUUAAGUAAACCCAAUCUUAAUUUUGGACAUUUGCUUAUUAUACAUCAAUGUUUUCAGCAAAUUUUAGUUCUGUCCAGAGUUAUAUUAAAGGGCUAAAAAUUCAUCUAGGUUUGUCCUUAACCUGAUUCUGUGGUGACCAGAUAUCAGUUAAAGGGAAUGCCAAGUGAUAAUGAGGAAAGAAAAAUUCUAUUUAAAAUUUUCUUUUUUUGAAAAUAAACUUUCCAGAGAGUAAACCUGGCUUAAUAGUUAUAUUUCAUCCUAAUAUGAAAAAAAUUUCUCUUGUGAUUUUUGUUCCAUCAGCCAACUUCACCUACUGAAUGACCACCAAAGCCAAUUUUACUUUCCAGUUAGUCUACACACAAACAUGUAUGUUGUCAAGAUUAUGGUAGAACUGAAUCAGAAAGAUCCAGUCACUUGGAAAACUAUGACAUUCAAUGCUAAUUCUGAGUCCCACAUGAGAUCUAUGAAGAAGAGCAUGGGGUUAACCAAAAACAUCAGUAUGUACAUCUAGGGAACAUGUCAAAGAGCUCUGAUUCCAAAGGCAUAUGGACAAAACAUGGACAGUAAGAUACACAAUCUUAAAAUAGUGACAUAGUCCUGUAAUAUCAGUGCCAGCAAGAUUAAAGACCCAAAUUAGCAGAUGCGUCUCCUUUGCCUGACCAAAAAAAAAAAAGGGCAACAAAAAUUUAUGCUUAAGGUAAAAAAAAAAAAAAAGGAAAAUCUAGGGCCAUUGUUUGGUAUCAGUGGUAGAAUGUUAAUGAAUGACACAUGGAAGAAAAAAAAACACUUUUAUUUGGCCUUCAAGAAAAAGUGCUUAUUGAAGAACCAAUCAGUGAAGGGCUAAUAGCCUAUGAGCCAAGUUGGUAGACUUCUAAUGUGUGACCUUAGCUAACAUUUCAAGUAAAAAAGGGAGUGGAUGAGAUCAUUGUACCACAGCUGAUCAUUUCUGCAGAACUGCUAUGUCUUUAAAUGGGGGUGAGAAAAAUUCACUUAAAUGUUAAUCUCUAAACUCUUUAAAAGUAACUUUCAAGAGUAUAAUACACAGCAUUUCUCUUUAGUAAAAUGUUGGCUCCAAUUGUCUAUUAUUCUAUCACCUAAACUUUCUAUUGUCUCAACUAAUGCUAAUGAAAGAAAAGAAUAUGUAAGAAAAUGAAGUUGAUCUAUUUUACUUUGCAAAUUAACAUGAAAUGCUGAAAUAAACAUUAGUAAUUCCA